rnacentral:ncRNA from 1 species
AACUACGGCCAGGCGAACCCGUGGCGUCGGGCUGAGAUUGGAACACGAUCCGUUCCUCUAGCCUUCGAACCUGAUGCGGUUAGUACCGUCGAAGGGAUAAGGUUGGCCCGCCGG